rnacentral:lncRNA from 1 species
GAAUCUCUGACAUGCUCUGACAAAUGUCUGAACUGGAAGACCAAGAGACCAAGACUCUGCUUUUCACUGCAGCGAACCCCAGCAGAUUUUCAUUUGAAUUUUUAUAUGGUGAUCCCUUAUCCAGCAGUGUGCUAGAUGUUGAUUUGAAUGGCAAAGUCAGAUGAAACGUUAAGGUAAGCUUAACUUUUCAGUACUGUUGGAAGAGGUGCUUCUGCUGUCAGACCUCAUUUCAGAUUACUUUGUACUUUCUUUUUUGCUCAUAGACUUUUCAAUAGUUACUGUUACUGGAUGAGCCAGUUCAGCUCCCCUUAUCAGGCAGAAAGUUACACAACUGCAGAACUUUCCCCUUCCUCCCUUCCUCCCUUCUUCCCUUCUUCUCUUCCUCCCUUCCUCCCUUCCUCCCUUCCUCCCUUCCUUCCUUCCUUCAACAAAAUAGAUUCUGUAAGCAAUCUAGGGGAAAAUUUCUGUUGGAACAGAGAAAGCACAACAGUGUGUUAUUUGGUAGUUGCAACCCAUUAAAUCAGGUCACCCCACCUUGCCUGACUGCCUUGUAAGUAAUCCUCUUGCCCACACAAGCAACAUAUUGUGUGACAGACAUGAGAUCCAAAGAUGAUAUAUAUGAAUUAUUUUAAUGACACAGGUUAAUGUUACAGAAUGUUGACAUGUCUCUUACGGUUUUCUAGUAAUUAUGUACACCCACCUUCCAUGGAUACUGUAACAAUAACACAGUAAUACUGUCACUAGCAAGCCUAGCAAGACUUCUCUGAUUCUAAACAAAUAACUAGCAGCAUUUCUGAAGUUUAACAAGCUAAUAGCUGUCCUGCACAGUAUGAGAAAACUUCAAAAACGUUUUUUUUAACCCUUAUUAUUAAAGAUGAACCUCAAUUUUAUAUAAGAAAAGUUCUCUUGUAUGAAAUAUUGAUGCCCUUUUUUUUUAAAGAAGGACCAUUUUAAGUGAAAAAUUAUUAACAUGGGAUUUUUUUUUAAUAUGGAUUUUGGGGUCCAAGUAUUUUCCAAAUCAUUUCAGUAGGUUGUUUUACUUGCUUGCUCUAUAGAAGCUUUAUGUAUUUGUUGUCCUUGGUUACCAGCUAUUUUUUCCCAGGUUAAUGAAAGUGUUGUUCACUUGCUCUAUUAACAUGAUUUUUUUUCAGUGAAGCUCAUAAAGGCACAGAGAAGUUCUUCUUAAUAUGAGAGUACAGUGGCACAAUCCAUUGAGCGUAUAUGGUAAAACCAAGAAAAAAAAGCCUACUUUUGAGCCAGAGUUUUAAUGAUUUAUGACAAUGGGAGUAAAGUUAACUGUGAGCCUCCUGAAGGUAUUGUUAGUUCAAGAGCUAUACAAUAUAUGUGUGAUGCCAUGUGUGCUUUGAGUGAUACAAAGCCCAGUAGGAGGCAAUUACAUCUGACAGCACCACUUAUUGUUUUAAUUUUAUAAUCUGACUAUCCAUCUCAUGUCAUUCCACUCCUAUACCUGUCAAGACUCACACUGUUGCAUCCCAUCUACAGUCGCCAGCAGUUCCCACUUGGUGAUCUGGCCCAUUAGGCACCAAAAAUGCAUAAAUUCUUUGAUAUUAUGGCCAGCUGUGCUUAACAAAUGGAGUCAUGGAGGAGGGAAGAAGCCAUAGUGCAGUACUGCUGCCAACAGAUAUAUUUCCUUUUAUGGAGGCCCUGCAUUCAAACAAGUGCUUAGUAGGUGGUACACAGCCGCAGUCCAAUGUCAUAGCAUCUUCUUCAUCUAAUUACCCCAGGUGUUGGACGCAUCACUCUCACCAUUUCAAGAGUGACAGUGGAUCUUGCCUGUGGGAAGGGAAGCAUGAGAGGAAUGUCCUAAAUUAUGAUCCCCUUCCUCUAUUGCAUUCCCUAUUUCUCUCUAUUACAUCAUCUCUGAAACCCAACAUGAUAUCAGUGAAAGAGUGCUCACAGAGAAGGUUAAUAUUUUGGGUGGCUCUUCAUCCCUGCUAAGUAUAUUUUAUUCUAGCAAAGUUAUUAACAUUUUUGCUAAUUGUUCAGUGUUAGUGUUAAUAGAAUGAACCAGCAAUAAAAG